UUUUAAAUUGAGAGUUUGAUCCUGGCUCAGGACGAACGCUGGCGGCGUGCCUAACACAUGCAAGUCGAGCGAUGAAACUUCCUUCGGGAAGUGGAUUAGCGGCGGACGGGUGAGUAACACGUGGGUAACCUGCCUCAAAGAGGGGGAUAGCCUCCCGAAAGGGAGAUUAAUACCGCAUAACAUUAUUUUAUGGCAUCAUAGAAUAAUCAAAGGAGCAAUCCGCUUUGAGAUGGACCCGCGGCGCAUUAGCUAGUUGGUGAGGUAAGGGCUCACCAAGGCGACGAUGCGUAGCCGACCUGAGAGGGUGAUCGGCCACAUUGGAACUGAGACACGGUCCAGACUCCUACGGGAGGCAGCAGUGGGGAAUAUUGCGCAAUGGGGGAAACCCUGACGCAGCAACGCCGCGUGAGUGAUGAAGGUUUUCGGAUCGUAA
rnacentral:rRNA from 1 species